ensembl:miRNA mdo-mir-7351 mdo-mir-7351
AGAAAGGCAACCUUUCUUCCUUGGGGGUGAGAAAGGAAGAAAGACUACCUUUCUCC